GACGAACGCUGGCGGCGUGCUUAACACAUGCAAGUCGAACGGAAAGACCCUGCUUUUGUGGGGUGCUCGAGUGGCGAACGGGUGAGUAACACGUGAGUAACCUGCCCUUGACUUUGGGAUAACUUCAGGAAACUGGGGCUAAUACCGGAUAGGAGCUCCUGCUGCAUGGUGGGGGUUGGAAAGUUUCGGCGGUUGGGGAUGGACUCGCGGCUUAUCAGCUUGUUGGUGGGGUAGUGGCUUACCAAGGCUUUGACGGGUAGCCGGCCUGAGAGGGUGACCGGCCACAUUGGGACUGAGAUACGGCCCAGACUCCUACGGGAGGCAGCAGUGGGGAAUAUUGCACAAUGGGCGGAAGCCUGAUGCAGCAACGCCGCGUGCGGGAUGACGGCCUUCGGGUUGUAAACCGCUUUCGCCUGUGACGAAGCGUGAGUGACGGUAAUGGGUAAAGAAGCACCGGCUAUCUACGUG
rnacentral:rRNA from 1 species